GGAAAUGUUUUGUUUUUUAAGGCUUUGCUUGUAUAAUAGUAGCGCCCGCUCACUGUAAGAAACUCAUGUACACCGAAGAGCACGAACAGAAAACGUUCAAGUGGUUCAGAAGCCAGCACCCCCAGAAACACCCACAGACACCUCCUUCCACGGCCGUCUUUGGAGAGAAGGACAGGAAAGAAAAAUACCGGGAGGCUGGAUUCGUUUCUUUAAGCAUGUUUCCACUGUAGAUGGCAUCUCCUGACAGCCUGUGAUUUAGGAUAAGGAAAUGAGCUCAUUCAUUUCCUAUCCCCUUCCUCUCCCAGAAGCUGUGACUUCUUAUUUUUACAUUGUCAAGGGAAAAUCCAGCUUCUUCUUCAAGGCCUACGCCGGACAACUCCUCUGUGAAGCCUUCUGUGAAGUUUGGAUUGUUAUUUGGCAAG